UAAAGUGGCGUACGGGUGAGUAACACGUGGAUGAUCUACCUUUUAGUGGGGAAUACCGCUGGGAAACCGGUGACAAUACCGCAUAAGCUCGAGAGAGGAAAGCCGAAAGGCGCUGAAAGAGGAGUCCGCGGCCGAUUAGCUAGUUGGUAGGGUAAUGGCCUACCAAGGCUUUGAUCGGUAGCCGGCCUGAGAGGGCACACGGCCACACUGGCACUGAAACACGGGCCAG
rnacentral:rRNA from 1 species